AUUGAACGCUGGCGGCAGGCCUAACACAUGCAAGUCGAGCGGAUGAAGGGAGCUUGCUCCUGGAUUCAGCGGCGGACGGGUGAGUAAUGCCUAGGAAUCUGCCUGGUAGUGGGGGAUAACGUCCGGAAACGGGCGCUAAUACCGCAUACGUCCUGAGGGAGAAAGUGGGGGAUCUUCGGACCUCACGCUAUCAGAUGAGCCUAGGUCGGAUUAGCUAGUUGGUGGGGUAAAGGCCUACCAAGGCGACGAUCCGUAACUGGUCUGAGAGGAAGAUCAGUCACACUGGAACUGAGACACGGUCCAGGCUCCUACGGGAGGCAGCAGUGGGGAAUAUUGGACAAUGGGCGCAAGCCUGAUCCAGCCAUGCCGCGUGUGUGAAGAAGGUCUUCGGAUUGUAAAGCACUUUAAGUUGGGAGGAAGGGCAGUAAGUUAAUACCUUGCUGUUUUGACGUUACCAACAGAAUAAGCACCGGCUAACUUCGUG
rnacentral:rRNA from 1 species